AGGGGCGGGGGAAGUUUAGGAGUUGAGGAAAGAAGAUUAAAGAGCGCGAGGAGAUCUCACAGACCAGUGGAAUAAAGGCCUUUUGCAUAUGAGGAUCAGGUGACAAGUUAACUGGCUACCAACCUCCAAAGCAAUUCGCCCUUUCAUGUCACACAAAAAGAAGUGUUAAGGAUUGCCCUUUGAGACACUGAAGGCUAAAGCAAGUGAGGUAUUUUACAUAUCUCCAUAUCCCACAGUGAUCCUACAAUGAGAACUUACCAUCAUUUUGCUAAUGAUGAGCCUGAAGAUCAGGGAUGUAAAACUGCCUGAAGUUACAUUUAGAGACUGAAAUCACUGCACCUUAAAAACAAAAGAUUGAGCUGCACUGCAUUCCUCAGGAGAAUGUAUCCCCCAAUAUUGGAAUAGGACGUAUCACAGGGGAACUUCUAAUUCCAUUGCUCUCAUCAUCAACCAGUGAUUUGUUACCAUUUCUUUGGGGUAUAGACCAGUCAAUUGAGGACUCUCCUUAUUGUGGGAAGCCCUUUUUCAUGGGGACCUGCAAAUAUAACAUAAGGGGAAACCAAACCAUCUGCAAGGACCAAACCAUGCAAAGCAGAUCAAUACAAGAUUCUCCUUUUUCAUCGGAAUGUUUCACCGUCACUAACUGGAUAUUCCUCGCAACAUUGCUGUCUGAUUCUUUUCCCACAUAUUUUAUCACAGAACAUUGUGUAGAGUUCCCCGUGCUAUAUAGCAAGUCCUUGUCAGCCAAUCAUCCAUAUACCACAGUGCGUAUAUGCCAAUCCCGAACCCCUAAUCCAUCCCUCCCUCUCCCAGUUGUCCCCGUUGGCAAACAUAAUGUUGUUUUCAAGUCUGUGAGUCUGUUUCUGUUCUGCAAAUAAGUUCAUUUGUAUCCUUUUUUAAUUUCAAUUUUUAUUUUUGUCUUUUUAGGGCCACACCCACAGCAUACGGAGGUUCCCAGGCUAGGGGUUGAAUCAGAGCAGUAGCUGCUGGCCUAUGCCACAGUCACCCAAUGCCAGGUCUGAACCGCGUCUGUGACCUACACCAUAGCUCAUGGCAAUGUCAGGUCCUUAACCCACUGAGCGAGGCCAGGGAUCAGACCUGCUAGAUGCUAGCCAGAUUCGUUUCCACUGAGCCACGAUGGGAACUCCUGUAUCUGUUUUUUAGAUUCCACAUAUAAGUGAUAUCAUAUGAUGUUUGGCAUUACAUUUUAAAUAAUUCAGCAUAAUUGAACCAUUUAAUGACAGAAUUUCAGGAAGCUUUCUUUUACUCAAAGUCCCUCCUUUUGAAAUUAUCAAUUCAAUACAACUUAAAGCAUACACAAGAAGUAAUGAUUCUGCAAAGUAUACCUGAAGACUACUGACUUUAGAAUUAUCCACCUAAACCCUUAAGUAGAUAUCUCUUAAAAUCGCUGACAAAAUACCACCCAUACCUUCAGUGUGGAGGUGAAAGAAGUAUUGACAACAUCUGCUAGCGGAUUGAAGAGUUUGUUACGUAGCAAUGGUGAUGCUUUCUUGAUGUCCUUAAACUUUUUC
rnacentral:lncRNA from 1 species